UGCUAUCGGAUUGAUACUAAGCCAUGCGAGUCAUUGUAGUAAUACAAGGCAGACGGCUCAGUAACGCGUAGUCAACCUACCCUAUGGACGUGGAUAACCUCGGGAAACUGAGAAUAAUACACGAUAGAACAUUAUGCCUGGAAUGGUUUAUGUUCCAAAUGAUUUAUCGCCGUAGGAUGGGACUGCGGCCUAUCAGUUUGUUGGUGAGGUAAUGGCCCACCAAGACUAUUACAGGUACGGGCUCUGAGAGGAGUGGCCCGGAGAUGGGUACUGAGACACGGACCCAGGCCCUAUGGGGCGCAGCAGGCGAGAAAACUUUGCAAUGUGCGAAAGCACGACAAGGUUAAUCCGAGUGGUUUCUGCUAAAGGAACCUUUUGACAGUCCUAGAAACACUGUUGAAUAAGGGGUGGGCAAGUUCUGGUGUCAGCCGCCGCGGUAAAACCAGCACCUCAAGUUGUCAGGAUGAUUAUUGGGCCUAAAGCAUCCGUAGCCGGCUCUGUUAGUUUUCGGUUAAAUCUGUACGCUUAACGUACAGGCUGCCGGGAAUACUACAGAGCUAGGGAGUGGGAGAGGUAGACGGUACUCGGUAGGAAGGGGUAAAAUCCUUUGAUCUAUUGAUGACCACCUGUGGCGGAAGGCCGGUCUACCAGAACACGUCCGACGGUGAGGGAUGAAAGCUGGGGGAGCAAACCGGAUUAGAUACCCGGGUAGUCCCAGCUGUAAACUAUGCAAACUCAGUGAUGCAUUGGCUUGUGGCCAAUGCA
rnacentral:rRNA from 1 species